GAGUGAAAAAGAACCUGAAACCGUGUACGUACAAGCAGUGGGAGCCCCACCACUAAGCCAGUGGUGAACUCCACAUACGCAUCCUUUGCUGAGGAUACGGUUAACGGAGCGAAAGCGACGUUCAACCGCAAAAGAAGCAGAGGGGGCUUAGUGGUGGGGUGACUGCGUACCUUUUGUAUAAUGGGUCAGCGACUUAUAUUCUGUAGCAAGGUUAACCGUAUAGGGGAGCCGGAGGGAAACCGAGUCUUAAUUGGGCGUUAAGUUGCAGGGUAUAGACCCGAAACCCGGUGAUCUAGCCAUGGGCAGGUUGAAGGUUGGGUAACACUAACUGGAGGACCGAACCGACUAAUGUUGAAAAAUUAGCGGAUGACCUGUGGCUGGGGGUGAAAGGCCAAUCAAACCGGGAGAUAGCUGGUUCUCCCCGAAAGCUAUUUAGGUAGCGCCUCGUGAAUUCAUCUCCGGGGGUAGAGCACUGUUUCGGCUAGGGGGCCAUCCCGGCUUACCAACCCGAUGCAAACUGCGAAUACCGGAGAAUGUUAUCACGGGAGACACACGGCGGGUGCUAACGUCCGUCGUGAAGAGGGAAACAACCCAGACCGCCAGCUAAGGUCCCAAAGUCAUGGUUAAGUGGGAAACGAUGUGGGAAGGCCCAGACAGCCAGGAUGUUGGCUUAGAAGCAGCCAUCAUUUAAAGAAAGCGUAAUAGCUCACUGGUCGAGUCGGCCUGCGCGGAAGAUGUAACGGGGCUAAACCAU
rnacentral:rRNA from 1 species